CAAAAAUCCUUAAAAUAAAAAUAAAAAAAUAUAUAAAUAUAAAUACAACAAUAGAAAAGUUCACAAAAAUUCCACCAAAAUAAAAGAGGGGAAAAACCUCUAAAAAUUAGAACCCUAACUCCCCUUUCAUCGUCUCGACCUUCUCCUUGCCUUCGAAUUAAAAGCGCAAAGAAGCUCAGCGCGGCGCAAAUGGCGGCCGCAAGAUUCCCCUCUCUGAUCAACACCAUGAACACAAACCCCGUGAUAUCCACCGUGAUCCUCCGCUCCGAAGACUCACUUCCAAGAGAUAUUGGCUUCCUUCCCUUCGCUCUCCUAUGGCGAACAAGGUCCGCCUUCUGAGACUUACUUCCAAGUGGUUGCUUCGGCUUCUCCCAGUGCUAGUCUUUCUCACCCUCGUUCUUCCCAUCUUCUUCCACUUCUGUCUCCAUCGAUUCAAUCGGAUGAGAUCCCAGAAGUGUGGAUUGCUGGAGAACCCUCCACUUGUGUGCGCUCAUGGUGGUGACUCAAGCAAGGCUUUUCCCAACACUGUGAGUGAUUAGUACCUAGUAUGAUCUUGCGGAAUUAGAGAAUUGAAUAGAAAUGCUUGCUGGUGCAGCACUGAUGGAUGAGACAAAUAGGAAUACAGAGGUAAUGUAUAUGUUGUUUUUUGUGAUUACUUCUUGUAUAGCAUUUAUCCAUGUGCCCCUUCUGUUUUAAUGUGUCACUUGAAAAAUAUAUUUGUUGAUCUUCCUUUGCUUUCAAUUAUUGCAUUUGGGUAAAGAAUAAUCUAGCAGUUUGCGUGCUCUUUGUUAAUAUUGGGCUUCAGAUGGAGUUGGAUCAAAGGUAUGGUUUUGCUCUUCUUUUUCCUUAAUGGGUUCUCUUUUAUUAUAGCCAUGUUGAUUGCAUUUGGGUAAAGAAUAAUCUAGCAGUUUGCGUGCUCUUUGUUAAUAUCGGGCUUCAGAUGGAGUUGGAUCAAAGGAUAUGGUUGUCCUCCCUUAUAAGGACAACUUGUUAUUAUUUAGCAGGUAUUUGCAACAGUUGGUUAUGGAAUCACUAGGAAAAGAAUUUGAUCUUGAUGGCAAUCAGGGACAAUGAUGUCAUAUUUUCUGUUGGUUUCAUCCCAAAACAUUGAAGAUAACUUUGUUUUGUAUUAACUUCAAAACUGUUUUGUUUUAACUAAUUUUCUCCAUGAAUAUUUAUGUUAUUGAAUAUUUUUUGUCAAUUUCAAUGUGAUGUUGUUUGCUCUAA